CCACGAGCACAGCCCUGAAAAUGGAUGGCGCUAAAGCAUCGUGCCUAUACUCUGCCGCCGGGGCAAGGAGCUGGGUUCCCCCGUGGUGACCGAACCGGCGGGGGAAAGCGUCACGGAGCCGCUUAGAAAUAGCCCACUUAGGCCCCGGUGAGUAGGAGGGAUCCCACGGUGGCGCUGAAGGGCUGAGCGAAGGCUUACCUGGAGCCGCCGAGGGAACAGAUCUUGGUAGUAGUAGCAAAUACUCUAGCGAGGCCCUUGAGGACCGAAGUGGAGAAGGGUUUCGUGUGAACAGCCGUUGCACACGAGUCAGUCGAUCCUAACCCCUAGGAUACGUCCGAUGUCGAUGACGACUGUUUCUUUUCAUUUCAUUUCGUAUCGCCCCGAGAUGAGGAAAUGAGCAGCAGUCUCGACGGGGGAAAGGGAAUCCGGUUCCUAUUCCGGAACCCGGUUGCGGAACCGUAUCCAAACGGACUCCGCGCCUGCGGGCGCGGAGUUCGGCGGGGUAACCCAAACUGACCCGGAGAAGCCGUCGGGAGGUCGGGGAAGAGUUUUCUUUUCUGUUUGAGCGCUCGGGUUCCCUGGAAAUCUCUAGCAGAGAGAGAGGGAAUGGAGCGCGUAGAGCACCGCAGUUGCGGCGGUGUCCCGACAUGCCCCUCGGACCUUGAAAAUCCGGGUGAGGGAUACGUGGAGAAGUCGCACCGGAUCGUACCCAUAUCCGCAGCCGGUCUCCAAGGUUAAACGCCUCUGGUCGAUAGAUGAAUGUGGGUAAGGGAAGUCGGCAAGUUUGAUCCGAAACUUCCGGUAGGGGGGUGUGGGCAUAAAGGGGGGGGG
rnacentral:rRNA from 1 species